AAAUAAAAAGUGGGUAUCUUUUUUAUUUCAAAAUAACAGGGGUUUUAAUAUUUCUACACAGCAUUAGAUAAUAGCCCAAACAUAUUAUUGAUCCCCAAACAAGUAUUUUCCAGAUCAAUUAAUAGUCAUUAUCAAUUAAUAUUCAUGUCUACCUGUCUGAGCAAUGGAUUAGAAACAUUAUAAGUUUCAUUUUAUGGAAGAGAAAGCAGACUAAAAGUCUAGGGAUAUGAUCAUUUGGUUUCUGGUUUCAGUUCUGACACUAACAAGCAAUAUCCUUGGGCAAGUUGUUUAAUCUUUGGGGCCUUAUUUUUCUCAAGUAGAGAAUAACGAAGCUGGAUCUCAUGCUCCAUUCCCAUCUCUUCCCUACCCCCCAUUAUUUCAUAAGAUUUUCUUGCCCCUAUUAUGCCUUAGUAAAUUCUAGAUCAAGAGAGAUCCUGCCCAAUUUCAGAGUAGAGAAGCCCAGGACUAGCUGCGUAAUUUGUGGGGCUCAUUGAAAAAUGGAAAUGUCGAAUUCCUUCUUAAAAAAUAAAGGAUUUCAAGAGGGUAACUGCAAAGCAUUAAAUUUAGCAUGCGGUCCUUCUGAGCAUGUGACCCUUUGCAACUGAACAGAUCACACACAUCCAAGAAGCUGGCCCUGUAGAAAACAAAGAAAUGUUUUCCCCCACCUUCCAACAUUCUCUUUUGCUCUUAACGGAAUGGAAAUCUUAGAAAUGUUGAUGGGACAAUGACAUGAAUCAUGAAAAGAAAGGAAUAGUGGGAAUACGAAUAUUAGAAAGCCAAUGUUUUGUGGAUGUUUGAAACUCUCAUAUACAUUCAUAGGGCUUACCCCACUGGUAUGGGCAACAGGUAACUCUGGUAGUUUCUAAAGAUGCUCCCAGUGAAUUAUGCCUCCUGGUAUGUGGUCCUUAUGCAGUUCCCUUCUACACUGAAUCGAGACUGGCCUGUAAUUUGUGUUCACAACGAAUAGAAUGCAGCAAAAGCAAAGCCCUGUCUCCUAGAGAUUCUGGUAUGUUGUCUCUUUGUUCUCAUUGGUUUUAAGGAACUUAUUUAUUUCUGCCUUAAUUUCAUUAUUUACCCAGUAGUCAUUCAGGAGCAGGUUGUUCAGUUUCCAUGUAGUUGUGUGGUUUCGAGUGAGUUUCUUAGUCCUCAGUUCUAAUUUGAUUUCUCUGUGGUCUGAGAGAUUGUUAUGAAUUUCGUUGAUAAAAUUUUAUAUAUUUAUGGUAUACAUAACAUUUUGAUAUAUGUACACGUUACAGGAUGAUUAAAUCAAGCUAAGUAACAAAUCCAUAAUCUCACAUAAAUUUUUUUUGAUGCUUGGCUGUUUUUUUACUCAUGGAAAGUCAGAAAAAUCAUUGUUAUAUGGGAAAGACAGGAUAUUUUAAGUACUUAUUUCAUUUGAUAAUAUUGUUUUUCUCUUCACUCAAGAAAAACCAUUAAAAAAUCAUGUGUUUGUGAAAGUUAUCCAGGUCUAUCAAUUAUUAUUUAAAGU
rnacentral:lncRNA from 1 species